rnacentral:rRNA from 1 species
AACGCGAAGAACCUUACCAAGGCUUGACAUCCAAUUAAACUCAUGGAAACAUGAGGUGCCUUCGGGCGAAUUGAGACAGGUGGUGCAUGGUUGUCGUCAGCUCGUGUCGUGAGAUGUUGGGUUAAGUCCCGCAACGAGCGCAACCCUUAUUGCCAGUUACCAGCAAGUAAAGUUGGGGACUCUGGUGAGACUGCCGGGGACAACUCGGAGGAAGGUGGGGAUGACGUCAAAUCAUCAUGCCCCUUAUGUUUUGGGCUACACACGUGCUACAAUGGCUGUAACAAAGGGAAGCGACAGGGUAACGUGAAGCGGAUCUCAGAAAAGCAGUCCCAGUUCGGAUUGUGGUCUGCAACCCGCCCACAUGAAGUCGGAGUUGCUAGUAAUCGCGAAUCAGAAUGCCGCGGUGAAUACGUUCCCGGGUCUUGUACACACCG